rnacentral:rRNA from 5 species
CGCUGGCGGCAUGCCUAAUACAUGCAAGUCGAACGGGGUGCUUGCACCCAGUGGCGAACGGGUGAGUAACACGUAUCUAAUCUACCUCUUAGUGGGGGAUAACAGUUGGAAACGACUGCUAAUACCGCAUACGACACCAUUAUGGCAUCAGAAGGUGUUAAAAGGUCCGUUUGGACCGCUAGGAGAUGAGGAUGCGGCGUAUUAGCUAGUAGGUGAGGUAAUGGCUCACCUAGGCGAUGAUACGUAGCCGAACUGAGAGGUUGAUCGGCCACAUUGGGACUGAGAUACGGCCCAGACUCCUACGGGAGGCAGCAGUAGGGAAUUUUUCACAAUGGGCGAAAGCCUGAUGAAGCAAUGCCGCGUGAGUGAUGAAGGUCUUCGGAUUGUAAAGCUCUGUUGUAAGGGAAGAAAUGCUAGAAGAGGAAAUGCUUUUAGUUUGACGGUACCUUACCAGAAAGCCACGGCUAACUAUGUGCCAGCAGCCGCGGUAAUACAUAGGUGGCAAGCGUUAUCCGGAUUUAUUGGGCGUAUAGGGUGCGUAGGUGGUUAGUUAAGUUUGAGGUUAAAUCCCAGGGCUCAACCCUGGUCCGCCUUGAAAACUGGCUAACUAGAAUACAGGAGAGGUAGAUGGAAUUCCAUGUGUAGCGGUGGAAUGCGUAGAUAUAUGGAGGAACACCAGUGGCGAAGGCGGUCUACUGGCCUGUGAUUGACACUGAGGCACGAAAGCGUGGGGAGCAAAUAGGAUUAGAUACCCUAGUAGUCCACGCCGUAAACGUUGAGUACUAAGUGUCGGCAAUUUGUCGGUGCUGCAGCUAACGCAUUAAGUACUCCGCCUGAGUAGUAUGCUCGCAAGAGUGAAACUCAAAGGAAUUGACGGGGACCCGCACAAGUGGUGGAGCAUGUGGUUUAAUUCGAAGCAACGCGAAGAACCUUACCAGGGCUUGACAUCCAGUGCAAAACUACAGAGAUGUAGUGGAGGCCAACAUUGAGACAGGUGGUGCAUGGUUGUCGUCAGCUCGUGCCGUGAGGUGUUGGGUUAAGUCCCGCAACGAGCGCAACCCCUAUCGUUAGUUACUAACAUUAAGUUGAGCACUUUAACGAGACUGCUAGUGUAAGCUAGAGGAAGGUGGGGAUGACGUCAAAUCAUCAUGCCCCUUAUGUCCUGGGCUACACACGUGCUACAAUGGCUGAUACAAAGAGUCGCAAUCCUGUGAGGGGGAGCUAAUCUCAAAAAGUCAGUCUCAGUUCGGAUUGAAGUCUGCAACUCGACUUCAUGAAGCCGGAAUCACUAGUAAUCGCGAAUCAGCAACGUCGCGGUGAAUACGUUCUCGGGUCUUGUACACACCGCCCGUCACACCAUGAGAGUUGGUAAUACCAGAAGCACGUAUCUUAACCGUAAGGAGAGAGCGUACCAAGGUAGGA